AUUCACAAUUUUCUAGAGAAAUAUUUAGAUAAAAUUUUUAAUGAGAAUAAAUGUAAAUGUUCUUUUAUUAUAAAAACUCUAUUCAUACCUAACUUUCAUGUAGCAAGGAUUAGUUAUCACAAAGAAACUCCAUCUCUUGUACAUUUCAAUUUCUCGGUACGUUUCAAUCACAUGGUCCAAAGCUUCAGGAUGAAGCUAUUAGCAAUUACAACAAACAAUGAAACAAGGGAAUUAGAAGAAUUUAAAGAAAUUCCAAUUCCAUAAUAUUCGCCAAUAUAUCGACUUACAAAACUAAACCAAGCUUAGUCAUAAUGGUCUUUCCAAAAAGUUUAAAAGAAUUGUCUAAUUUUGGGGAUCAGAACAUCUAUCCCGCUCGCUCCCCAGAUUGCACGAACAUAAAUGCAAGAUCAAAUUUACAAAUUGUAUAUUAUAUAUAUAUAAUUUCAAAUCCUUAUUAAUGCAAAAUAAAAAAAAGAAAUAUAAUUCUGAUAUUCAAUUAGCUAUAUUUGGUUAUUGGGCUAUGAUAGUUUCC